rnacentral:rRNA from 1 species
UUGAACGCUGGCGGAAUGCUUUACACAUGCAAGUCGAGCGGCAGCGCGGGGCAACCUGGCGGCGAGCGGCGAACGGGUGAGUAAUGCAUCGGAACAUGUCCAUUCGUGGGGGAUAGCCCGGCGAAAGCCGGAUUAAUACCGCAUACGCCCGAGAGGGGAAAGCGGGGGACCGCAAGGCCUCGCGCGAUUGGGUUGGCCGAUGUCCGAUUAGCUUGUUGGUGAGGUAAAGGCUUACCAAGGCGAUGAUCGGUAGCUGGUCUGAGAGGAUGAUCAGCCACACUGGGACUGAGACACGGCCCAGACUCCUACGGGAGGCAGCAGUGGGGAAUUUUGGACAAUGGGGGCAACCCUGAUCCAGCCAUUCCGCGUGAGUGAAGAAGGCCUUCGGGUUGUAAAGCUCUUUUGUCCGGAGCGAAACGGUUACGGUGAAUAUCCGUGACUACUGACGGUACCGGAAGAAUAAGCACCGGCUAACUACGU